UCUUACAUCCUACUAUUUUCAGAGGCAUAGGAAUGGUCACAUAACAAAAUGAGGGAUGAUGCAUGGAUCACUCAACUGGAACAUGGACAUCUGAAUUUCAGUGAUGGCUCACUUCCAGCAUGCCUCUCAACCUGACCAUACCUUUCCCUGCCUAGGCUUCAGAUUCUAUUCUGAGAGCAAGAGCUCACCUGUGCCUUGGCCCUGAUAAACAUGCAGACUACCAGUAGCAAUGAAGCCAGCUCGUUUUGUGCAUUGAAGCAAACAUGUAACUAUCUUGAUGAUGCGUAGGCCAUGUGCUCAAAGCAUGAAGUAACAGAAGAUGAAAGGUAAGUGAUAUUUAUCCUUUAACAGAAUUUGUGUGGA
rnacentral:lncRNA from 1 species